AGAAUGCCUCUUCGUCUAUGUAUCUCCAGUUUGGCUAUCAGGAUGCUAUGGAAUGAUAUUAAAUUACAGAAGGAAAGACCAUAGAAGAAUCUGGUUUGGACAUCUAAAAUAUUGUCAUCCAGGACUGUGGAAUCUCUGUCAUCUAUGGGAUUUUAAUAGAAAAUUGUCAGUCAAAUGCUUCUUGAGAAUGUUCUGAAACCAGGAAAAAGAGAAAAAUAUAAAACUAAAAAUGCAGAGGAUUUAUUCAGAAAUAGCAUUGUGUCAUCUGGAGCAGAAGCAGGAAGAAUCACCAUAUGAUAUAAUAUGACACAGUUUGAAUGAUUAAUCACUGGGAUGAAACACUCAAAUUAAUAUUAGCUACAUGAGUGAAAUGGGUUGAAACAAACUAAUCAUCAAACAAUUUCAAAUAAUAAACUAAUUAAUGCAAAUUGGGGUGUGUUCAUGGAGAAAUAACAAAUGCAAAAAAGGCAAAUUUCACUGUCAAAUGAACUGUUCUCAGGGAAUAGUUCAUCUAGCUGCAGAAGACAGAAGAGGGUUGAAUGCUAAUGGGUAGGAAAAGGGAGAACACAGCAUAGAAAUGGAGCUAAUUCAUACACAGCAGUAAGUCCACAGAUUGCUUGGGAAAAAUGGAAGCAGGUACUGCUAAGUCUCUUGAAAAUUAGGAUGUAUCCUAGGUUUAAACCCAUGUGUUCAUUUUCACAAGAUUAAUAUUUCAGGCUGCAGGCACUCCAAUAAAAUGUCUUAAAAUGAGCCUGCAACUCAUAAUAGAAUAGCUGUUCUUAAUUUUAAAGAAAAUGAGUUAUUAAUAAUACACAGUUAUGGAACUAUUUGUUCUAUUCUGUGAAAUUUUGUAGAACCUCAAUAAAAUAAAAUAAAACAUUUUAUUAGAAUAAUUGCAUGGAACAAAUCCUGCAGUGUCAUGGUAGAUUCAUUUCAAAUACAAUCUGUGCUUUUCUUAAUGAGACUUACAUAUUUGGUAGUGUUGUCACACCUGCUUGUUGGACAUUACAGGCCCAAAGAACCAGAUUCUGUUUCAGUAACACAGAGCUGUCAGGAUCAUUUUGAGUAAAUUGGGCAUUAAGCAUCUCCUCAGGUUUUCCUGUUUCAUUCUUGCAGAGCAGUAAGACAAGCCCAAAUGUAUACACACAGAGAUCUGAAUUCAUAGCUCAUUUCCUCCUGGAUCACAUUGAUUAAUUUUGGAGAGGGUUUAGAGAUAGGAAUCUGUGAUAUCGGUUGUCAUUGAUUUCCAAGAUAAAUGAAGAACAGAGCAGCAACAUCCUUCUCAGACAAAAUAUAACACUUAAAUACAGUGCAAGGAGUAAGCAAAAUAUUAGCUUUUCUGAAGUAUCAGAACUGCUUUAAGAUUAAUUAAUUUCAAGUAGAUUAAUGUAGAUACUUUGUCCUUUCAAGGCAAUUGUUUUUUUCUUUCAGCUUCAAGUCUUUGCUAGUUAGAGACCCAAAGAGCAUUAUAGGAUGCUUCACUGUUUACUACAACCUUAAGUUGCUGUACUGAAAAUAUCUGAUUUUAUUCUGCAUUCUUGAUCAAAUCUAUUCUAACAAGGUAAUAGUUACAUGCAUAUGCUUCAGCUGCCAAAUAUAUGUUAAAUGGUGAAACAUUUAUUAAAGGUGAGGGCUAAUGCCAGGAGAAGCAGUUGCUGCUACAUUUCGAGGGAAAACAAAGAACAGAAAAAAGCUGUUCAACACCUGCAUCCACUGUUUUGUACCAAACUGCUCUAAUUAGCAUAGUUUGAGAUAUGAUUAAGAGAGGAAGCUUUCCAAAUGCCAUUAACUAUGGAUGUGAUCUUAAAUUACUCACUUUGAAUAUCUUUUCUUGCUAUGCCCUUUAAUCUUCCACUAACUUUUUGUUGCAUGCUAGAAUAGUCCCAAUUAAACCACAAAUGUAAGUUUGUGACAUUAAAGAAAAGGUAAACUGAAAAGUAAUCAACUUUUUUUUCCUAAGGUGCUUUUUCUAAACGGGGAGGAUGUGGAUAAAAAUCAAUUCUUUUCCUAUUAAAUGUCCAUCAUUCUCUAUCUCAGUCUCUACCAAUAUUGGAAGAGAGAUACUUAACACAAUCAUUAAGCAUGAAUAUUUCCAUUUUGCACUGAAGUAUUAUAAUGGAAUGCAACAAAAUAUUUGUGCAAUCAUUCAUCUUCACUCCUUUUAAAGAUUACUGUGUCAAAUGAGUCAUCCCAGACUCUGGUGUAUCACAAGUAGUAUCACAUGUAGAGUAUAAUAUCUGGUGACCAAAUGCUAUAUGUGAUUUUGCUUCCAAUAAAUGGUGCCAAACCACUUGCAUUAGGAAGAGUUUGAAGAACCUUUUACAGGCUCACAUGCAAAGAAAGGAGAAUAGAAUUAGGAAUGAGAGAAAGAGAGGUAGGAUGGAGUCAUAACAUAAGAAAAACAGUGAGCAAAGCUGGGCAGAAUAUAACAUUUUUUGUUGUGAUAAAGAAAGAUAUUUCAUAUACACCUGUUUAAAAAUAAAGGUCACCUUUACAUAUAAUACAUGAAGACAUAGUCUAAGGCUCCCACAUAUGUCCUCUUGACUAGGCAGAAUAGUCAAACAACCCUAGUGCAUGCAAUGACUAAACAUUGCUGUGGAUUUUACCUUUUUUCUAGGUAAAAGUUCCUCCUAUAAAGCUUCCUCUGGGACCCAUUAGAAGCUACUAGCACAUACUUGUUUUAUUAAAGACACUGAUAAAAAUCCGGUGAGAAGGAGUGACAAUUACCUUAAAAGCUUUUUAACACAUGUGGCCCUGAAAAAGAGAGAAGAUGUAUUCCAAACUGGAGUGCUAUCACUUCACACAAUAGCCACAUCCUUCUUACAGUUUAACAGUUCUGAAGUGGUCUCUGACUAAGAAACCCCAAAGGAAAACACAUCUAGGAACAAUGAUUCAGAAGUCUGUUCUCCUGCUGAUCCAGUGAUGUUUGGCCGGUGUCAUGUGCAAGCUGUCAAUCUU